UUUUUUUUUUUUUUUUUUUUUAGGGCUGCACCUGCGGCGUGUGAAUAUUCCCAGGCCAGGGGUCUAAUAGGAGCUAUAGCCACCAGCCUACACCACAGCCACAGCCAACGCAGGAUCCGAGCCACGUCUGCGACCUACACCACAGCUCACAGCAACUCUGGAUCCUUAACCCACUGAGCAAGGCCAGGGAUUGAACCUGCAUCCACGUGGACGCCGGUCACAUUUGUUAACCGCUGAGCCGCGAUAGGAACUCCAUGGACGUCUAUUUAAAAAGCCUCUCUUGCACGGGCUCACAUCCCCCUCACGUGUGUCCAAAUACCCCACGCAGAGCCAGAAAUUGCAAAGGUGCACAACUCACAGACAACACACAUCUGUACUACACGUGUGCCUGCUCCCCAGACACCCAACAAAGAGCCGCCACAUGGAUCACCAAUUACCAGGGAACCACCACCUCUACAAACACAGCCCGGGGUGUGCAUACACACCCAUCACAUGUUGACCCACACUAAACAGACACUACCCUGAAUUUAUUUUGCCUCUGGGAACUGGUCCAGGACCAAAGGAGCUAUGCUCUGCUGAUGAAAACAUCCCUCCCGCCUCUGCCAAACCCCCCCCAACCUCUUGCCCCAGGCAGCUUGUUGUCCACCUCCCCCUGGGAGAGGGAGGGCUGCUGGAGGACAGGGGAGAGAUGGGAUGAGGGGAGGCACAGAGCCCACCCCAAAGUCCGGCAGGCCCUCUCUUCCCCUUCCCCCCCACCAAGAGAUGCAAAAGGGUCUCCACCCAACCUCCUCCCACCUGCAAUGCUCGUUCAGCCCACUUGCCUAGAUUCCCAAGCCCUGGUCCAAGGAAGCCAAAACACAGCAAGGGAGGUGGCUGGAUUUAGGGACUCCUAAGGAAAGGGCUGUCUGGGGGCACUUUCCUGCAGCUCGAAGCCCCGGGUCCCCCAGGGAAGGUUGCCACAGAAACAGGGGGAAAUAUCACAGGGAAACACAAUACCCGGCAGGGUCACCUGCUGACCAGGCUUCCUGCUGUGUUGCCCACCCCCGCCCCCUUCUCAUUGCCCUUGCAGCCUCCUUCACUGGCCUCAGCCUGGGCCUCCUCACCAAAGCGCUCCUUCCUGCCUCCUGUGGGCUAGGGGAAGCAGCCUUAGGCAGAAACACAGCCUCUCUGGGUUCCAAACAACAACAUCAGGGAUGGCCCAGAGCUGAGUCCCCCACUCCUAAUCCUACCAGCACCCCCACCACAGGAAAUCAAAGCUUCCUGCCCCAGAGGAAGUGCCCCAUCUAGUGAACAAAUCCAACACAUAAACUCACAGUCCUGGAGCCGUGGGGAGGACAGACGCCCUCCCCGCCAGCUCCCAUGCCUUUCCCCAGCCCUGCUUCCAGCAACAGCCCACACCCCACUUCAGCCCCAGUCUCAAUUCUGGGCACUGGGCAGGGCCAAGGUGUGACAAGGAUGUGGGCAGCACCUGAGCCAGGCCAGGGGAGGAGAAGGUCAGAAGAACGGGCCCUGGCAGAGUUAGAAAGUCUGGUCCCAGCCCAGCUCAGCCUGGCUGAGUGACCCUGGGCCUCACAUUAGCUCGUAUUCUCUCCGGCCCCUGCCAACUUCAAAAUUACCAGCUCUUAAGCCAAGUCCAGGAGAAGGAAGGCAAAGCGGUGGGGGGUUACACAGGCUCCUGCCUUGGGCAAGCAUGCCUGCAGCUACAGCAAGUCCCCACUCCCCACCCCCAUUACGCAGGAGCUGCUCACUUCCAAGGAUUUUAUAUCCGGAUUGAGGAAGGGAUGGAGGAAGAGAAAGUUCCAACUCUCAUUGCCAGACAAGGAUGAAAGCUGGGGUCCAUUAUUCCUGAAGGAAGUGGGGGGGCAAAAUGGCUCCCACGCUGGACACGGAUCCCUCGCCUUAGAGUCUGCCGCUCCUCCUCUGGGAUCAUUUUAUUGACGGGGAAACUGAGAUUCGGUGUCAAAGCGGAGUGGCCAGUAUAGAUUCUUAGAUCAAGCCAUGCAAAGACCUGAAUGCAACUUUCCCAUCCCCAGGAUCACAGCUUAAGACUUGGGGCUAGAGAGAUACCCACCCCUGGGCUCAAGCUAAGGAACACAGAGACCUCAGGAGGACACUGCCCCGGGGCCAGUCCAGCUGAAACACCAAGAAGCAGCUUGGAGCCUGGCCAUUCGGGGUAUGAAAAACAUCAGGGGACCAAAGGCAAGGGGAGGAGUCCCAGUGGGUCCAGGACCCGGUUCCAGUUCAGGUUCACUGGAAACAACACAGUGAGCCUGCUUUGUGCUUUAAGUUCCCCAGAAGUGACUCUACAGAAUCAGAAAAUUACUUCUUCCAUCAGGUGGGUAGAGGGAACAGAGCAGAGAGGAGGGAGAAUGAGAUGCUGAGCAAUGAGGAGCUAAGAGGUGUCUUGCAGAAGCAGGAAAAGGAGCUUCCAAGAAGGCUGGUGUGAGGAGAGGAGUGUAUGUGGCAGCCUAAGCCACUCAGAGGACCUGGCCUACGGGGUCCCACAGGGAACAGAUGGGCCACCAAAGUAGCACACUAGAGGGUAGGGAACUAAGCCACAUUCUCCUUUCUUUCAGCCCAGCAGCUGGCAGGGAUCCUGAGGAAGGACCCCACGGGUACAGGUCCAAGUCCAGGGAACAGGCUGAGGAGUCCAGAUGUUGAGUUCCCAGGAAGGCCACUGAGACUGACAGGCAGAGCUGGGCCUCAGGCAGAUGUUGAAUGGGGGGGCAGCAGCAAGACAGCCAGUGUCCAGACGCAGGAGGAGGCCUCGUGUAUGCAGGACAGCCAGCAGGGACAAGGGAAUGACCAGGACUUGGUGGGAAGGGCACCAAUGGCUGGUGAGGUCGGAUUCGAACGGGCAGCCUGGGCAGCCAGAGGGAAGGAAAUGGGGCGGGGGGUGGGGGGGAGCUGGGGAGCCUGCAAACCCAGAGGGCUCUCUCUCCCAGCUCACAGGCCUAGAAACUUUGGGCGUCAGAGGCCAGCCCAGCGGCCAGAUUUGCUGCCUGCUCUCACACUCCCCAGAACCAACGGAUCUCAGGCCUGGGGGGCGCACAUCCUGUCC
rnacentral:lncRNA from 1 species